rnacentral:rRNA from 1 species
UUUUUAUUAUAAUUAAACAAAAAAAAAAACAACUUUCAGCAAUGGAUCUCUCGGCUUUCGUAUCGAUGAAGAACGCAGCAAAUCGCGAUAUGUAAUGUGAUCUGCCUAUAGUGAAUCAUCAAAUCUUUGAACGCAUCUUGCACCUUAUGGUAUUCCAUAAGGUACGUCUGUUUCAGUACCACUAAUAAAUCUCUCUCUAUCCCUUGAUGAUAGAAAAAAAAAAAAGAGAUAAAUUAUUACUGGUCCUGGUGAUUCUUUCUCUUUUGAAAAAAUCACUCUCGGCCUAAAUAUAAGGCUCGACUUUUUUUUACCAGAUCUUGCAUCUAGUAAAAACCUAGUCGGCUUUAAUAGAUUUUUAUUUUCUAUUAAGUUUAUAGCCAUUCUUAUAUUUUUUAAAAUC